AAAAGAUCCUAUAAAAUAACAGUAAAACCCUAAAAGAAAAAAAACCCAAGGCCUAAAAAUGAGCGCCAAACCCUAACACAUGCUAAAAUCCUUUAAAAACCCAGAAAAAAAAAUACUAAAUAUACACUUAAACGUGAAAGCCAAACACAAAAACCCCACUACAACACUCUUCUAAAAACCAUACAAAGCCCUGUUUAAAAAACCCUUAAGCUGGGUGCUGG
rnacentral:lncRNA from 1 species